UACGGAGGGUGCAAGCGUUAUCCGGAUUCACUGGGUUUAAAGGGUGCGUAGGUGGGUCUGUAAGUCAGUGGUGAAAUCUUCGAGCUUAACUCGGAAACUGCCAUUGAUACUAUAGAUCUUGAAUUUUCUGGAGGUAAGCGGAAUAUGUCAUGUAGCGGUGAAAUGCUUAGAUAUGACAUAGAACACCAAUUGCGAAGCAGCUUACUACGGGAACAUUGACACUGAGGCACGAAAGCGUGGGGAUCAAACAGG
rnacentral:rRNA from 1 species